AGGUAAGCUACUAAGAGCGAAUGGUGGAUGCCUUGACUGGUAAAGGCGAUGAAGGACGUACUAGACUGCGAUAAGCUACGGGGAGCUGUCAAGAAGCUUUGAUCCGUAGAUUUCCGAAUGGGGCAACCCAAUGUAUAGAGAUAUACAUUACCUAUAUAGGAGCGAACGAGGGGAAUUGAAACAUCUUAGUACCCUCAGGAAAAGAAAUCAAUAGAGAUUGCGUCAGUAGCGGCGAGCGAAAGCGCAAGAGGGCAAACCCAGUGCUUGCACUGGGGGUUGUAGGACUGCAAUGUGCAAGAGGUGAGUUUAGCAGAACAUUCUGGAAAGUAUAGCCAUAGAGGGUGAUAGUCCCGUAUGCGAAAAACAAACCUUAGCUAGCAGUAUCCUGAGUAGGGCGGGACACGAGAAAUCCUGUCUGAAGCUGGGUCGACCACGAUCCAACCCUAAAUACUAAUACCAGAUCGAUAGUGCACAAGUACCGUGAGGGAAAGGUGAAAAGAACUGAGGUGAUCAGAGUGAAAUAGAACCUGAAACCAUUUGCUUACAAUCAUUCAGAGCCCUAUGUAGCAAUACAGGGUGAUGGACUGCCUUUUGCAUAAUGAGCCUGCGAGUUGUGGUGUCUGGCAAGGUUAAGCAAACGCGAAGCCGUAGCGAAAGCGAGUCUGAAUAGGGCGCUUAGUCAGAUGCUGCAGACCCGAAACGAAGUGAUCUAUCCAUGAGCAAGUUGAAGCUAGUGUAAGAACUAGUGGAGGACUGAACCCAUAGGCGUUGAAAAGCCCCGGGAUGACUUGUGGAUAGGGGUGAAAGGCCAAUCAAACUUCGUGAUAGCUGGUUCUCUCCGAAAUAUAUUUAGGUAUAGCGUUGUGUCGUAAUAUAAGGGGGUAGAGCACUGAAUGGGCUAGGGCAUACACCAAUGUACCAAACCCUAUCAAACUCCGAAUACCUUAUAUGUAAUCACAGCAGUCAGGCGGCGAGUGAUAAAAUCCGUCGUCAAGAGGGAAACAACCCAGACUACCAGCUAAGGUCCCUAAAUCUUACUUAAGUGGAAAACGAUGUGAAGUUACUUAAACAACCAGGAGGUUGGCUUAGAAGCAGCCAUCCUUUAAAGAAAGCGUAAUAGCUCACUGGUCUAGUGAUUUUGCGCGGAAAAUAUAACGGGGCUAAAGUAAGUACCGAAGCUGUAGACUUGCGCACAACUUAGAUUAUUUAAGUUUAGAAUAUGAGAAACUAAGUUAUAUGUUUAGUUAUAUUUUUACUGAUUUUUAUAGAGUAAAGAUAGAAAUAAAACUUAGUAAAAUCAGUAAAAAUAUUCUUAGACUAAAGUUAAGUAGUUUAAGUUGUGUGCAAGUGGUAGGAGAGCGUUCUAUUUGCGUCGAAGGUAUACCGGUAAGGAGUGCUGGAGCGAAUAGAAGUGAGCAUGCAGGCAUGAGUAGCGAUAAUUAAUGUGAGAAUCAUUAACGCCGUAAACCCAAGGUUUCCUACGCGAUGCUCGUCAUCGUAGGGUUAGUCGGGUCCUAAGUCGAGUCCGAAAGGGGUAGACGAUGGCAAAUUGGUUAAUAUUCCAAUACCAACAUUAGUGUGCGAUGGAAGGACGCUUAGGGCUAAGGGGGCUAGCGGAUGGAAGUGCUAGUCUAAGGUCGUAGGAGGUUAUACAGGCAAAUCCGUAUAACAAUACUCCGAGAACUGAAAGGCUUUUUGAAGUCUUCGGAUGGAUAGAAGAACCCCUGAUGCCGUCGAGCCAAGAAAAGUUUCUAAGUUUAGCUAAUGUUGCCCGUACCGUAAACCGACACAGGUGGGUGGGAUGAGUAUUCUAAGGCGCGUGGAAGAACUCUCUUUAAGGAACUCUGCAAAAUAGCACCGUAUCUUCGGUAUAAGGUGUGGUUCGCUUCGUAUUAGGAUUUACUCCGAAAGCGAAGAAACUUACAACAAAGAGUCCCUCCCGACUGUUUACCAAAAACACAGCACUCUGCUAACUCGUAAGAGGAUGUAUAGGGUGUGACGCCUGCCCGGUGCUCGAAGGUUAAUUGAUGGGGUUAGCAUUAGCGAAGCUCUUGAUCGAAGCCCGAGUAAACGGCGGCCGUAACUAUAACGGUCCUAAGGUAGCGAAAUUCCUUGUCGGUUAAAUACCGACCUGCAUGAAUGGCGUAACGAGAUGGGAGCUGUCUCAAAGAGGGAUCCAGUGAAAUUGUAGUGGAGGUGAAAAUUCCUCCUACCCGCGGCAAGACGGAAAGACCCCGUGGACCUUUACUACAGCUUGACACUGCUAUUUGGAUAAGAAUGUGCAGGAUAGGUGGGAGGCUUUGAGUAUAUGACGCCAGUUGUAUAUGAGCCAUUGUUGAGAUACCACUCUUUCUUAUUUGGGUAGCUAACCAGCUUGAGUUAUCCUCAAGUGGGACAAUGUCUGGUGGGUAGUUUGACUGGGGCGGUCGCCUCCCAAAUAAUAACGGAGGCUUACAAAGGUUGGCUCAGAACGGUUGGAAAUCGUUCGUAGAGUAUAAAGGUAUAAGCCAGCUUAACUGCAAGACAUACAAGUCAAGCAGAGACGAAAGUCGGUCUUAGUGAUCCGGUGGUUCUGUGUGGAAGGGCCAUCGCUCAAAGGAUAAAAGGUACCCCGGGGAUAACAGGCUGAUCUCCCCCAAGAGCUCACAUCGACGGGGAGGUUUGGCACCUCGAUGUCGGCU
rnacentral:rRNA from 1 species